UACGGAGGGGGCUAGCGUUGUUCGGAAUUACUGGGCGUAAAGCGCACGUAGGCGGCUUUGUAAGUUAGAGGUGAAAGCCCGGGGCUCAACUCCGGAAUUGCCUUUAAGACUGCAUCGCUAGAAUUGUGGAGAGGUAAGUGGAAUUCCGAGUGUAGAGGUGAAAUGCGUAGAUAUCAGGAGGAACACCGGCGGUGUAGACGGCUUACUGGACCAUGACUGACGCCGAGGCACGAAAGCGUGGGGAGCAAACAGG
rnacentral:rRNA from 1 species